rnacentral:rRNA from 1 species
GGGGAGCAAACAGGAUUAGAUACCCUGGUAGUCCACGCUGUAAACGAUGUCGAUUUGGAGGUUGCGGCCCUGAGCUGUGGCUUCCGAAGCUAACGCGUUAAAUCGACCGCCUGGGGAGUACGGCCGCAAGGUUAAAACUCAAAUGAAUUGACGGGGGCCCGCACAAGCGGUGGAGCAUGUGGUUUAAUUCGAUGCAACGCGAAGAACCUUACCUACUCUUGACAUCCUCAGAAUUUGCUGGAGACAGCGAAGUGCCUUCGGGAACUGAGAGACAGGUGCUGCAUGGCUGUCGUCAGCUCGUGUUGUGAAAUGUUGGGUUAAGUCCCGCAACGAGCGCAACCCUUAUCCUUUGUUGCCAGCACGUCGAGGUGGGAACUCAAAGGAGACUGCCGGUGAUAAACCGGAGGAAGGUGGGGAUGACGUCAAGUCAUCAUGGCCCUUACGAGUAGGGCUACACACGUGCUACAAUGGCGGAUACAAAGUGAAGCGACCUCGCGAGAGCAAGCGGAACACACAAAGUCUGUCGUAGUCCGGAUUGGAGUCUGCAACUCGACUCCAUGAAGUCGGAAUCGCUAGUAAUCGUAGAUCAGCCUGCUACGGUGAAUACGUUCCCGGGCCUUGUACACACCGCCCGUCACACC